GUGCUCGCUUCGGCAGCACAUAUACUAAAAUUGGAAUGAUACAGAGAAGAUUAGCAUGGCCCCUGCGCAAGGAUAGAGAAGAUGCACUUAGUCCUUCUGCAACUUGAU